rnacentral:lncRNA from 1 species
ACGUAACCCAAAUUUGAAACCCUGUUUUUUAAUCUGUCCUUGGGACCUGUUCGACUAGCAUAAUUCUUGAUUUAUAGAAAAAACUACAACUGAGCUCCUGUAGAAUGAACUGAAGACAAAGACAGAAAAAUGAUAUGCCGUAUAAUUAACUAUUUUAAUAUGUCGAGAGUACAAAAAAUAGAAAAAAUCUAACAUUCAGCUAAAUAAUAUUUCUAAGAGAAAAUUUAUCCAGAAACACAAAAUUCAAAGCCCUAAAGGAGCUUUAUUCUUUACCGACUGAACAUUAAUUUCCGCAAGAAAAAACAAAAUGAAAUUACUUCGUAAACAUAAUCUAUAAGCGCAGCUCUAAUCCCCUAUGAUCUACGCGAAAUGAACCAAUUUCAAG